CCCUUAGAUGUUCUGGGCCGCACGCGCGCUACACUGAUGAAUGCAACGAGCUCUACCCUUGACCGAAAGGCCCGGGUAAACUUGUGAAACUUCAUCGUGAUGGGGAUAGAUUAUUGCAAUUAUUAAUCUUCAACGAGGAAUUCCUAGUAAGCGCGAGUCAUCAGCUCGCGUUGAUUACGUCCCUGCCCCUUGUACACACCGCCCGUCGCUCCUACCGAUUGAAUGGUCCGGUGAAAUCUUCGGAUUGCUGACCAAGAUCCAGCAAUGGAGCUUGGUUGCGAGAAGUUGAUUAAACCUUAUUAUUUAGAGGAAGGAGAAGUCGUAACA
rnacentral:rRNA from 1 species